UACGUAGGUGGCAAGCGUUGUCCGGAUUUAUUGGGUUUAAAGGGUGCGUAGGCGGUCUUAUAAGUCAGUGCUGAAAUAUCCCGGCUUAACCGGGAGGGUGGCAUUGAUACUGAUGGACUUGAGUGCAGUCGAGGUAGGCGGAAUUGACGGUGUAGCGGUGAAAUGCUUAGAUAUCGUCAAGAACACCGAUAGUGAAGACAGCUUACUAGACUGUAACUGACGCUGAGGCACGAAAAGUGUGGGGAUCAAAACAGGG
rnacentral:rRNA from 1 species